ACCGAGGCUCGGGCCGGGACCAUAGUUUGACGGGCCACGCAAAACUCACGUCGGUAAAAUAUCCGGCGACGUACGUAACGAAAGACACGAAAAUAAAAUAGCCACGGCCGAUCGCACACAAAUACGAAAAAUAAACACUAGCACCGGCCGUAAUAAAUACGAAUUUCCGGCUAUUCGAUUCACACCAUUAUCUUUUACGUAUAGAUAUCGCACAGGUACGUCACGGGCAACCUCGCGCCGGUUUCGCAGGACCGCUUUGGGAUCACCGACCGGGGGAGGGGCCGGGCGUCGUUCGUUGACGGGCCGCGGACAAUUACGCGAAACAAUGUAAUCCGACAAAAUGUCGGGCGACGCACGCAUCGAAACAUAAACGUCGAGGCCGGUCGCACUAAAGCUUCCCAUACACUACGAUGAAACACGACGGUUUUUAUUUCUGUCGAGUCUUGAUUUUAAACACGACGGGUUUACCGUUUGUCGUUUAAAGUCGUAAUGUGUGGACUUUCCGACAAUAACCGACGUGUUUAUUAAAAUAAGUAUGCUCAUCCGUUGUUAACUAAUUAAACCAACCUCCAGGACGUGGCUUCAGCUCAUUCAAUAACUUUAUAUGAGAACAUCUUUUUUCUUUUUAACAACCACUCUUUAGUCCAUAUCGAACGUUUUCUAGUAUUUUUUUUUUUUUUUUGAUAAAACAGCUUUUGCCACAGCCGCUGCUGUCAAUUGCGUCGAAUUCGUGGAAUACAAAAAAAAAAAUAUUUGCUAUACCUCUGCUGAAAUAAACUGAAUAAAUUUAAUGAAAACCGAAGCAUCACUCGAUUUUGCAACACGAAGUGUGUACAACUGACGACGCAGCACGAUGAAAACCGUCGCGUUUCAUCGUAGUGUAUGGGAAGCUUAACGCACAAUUUUGACUAUGAAAAAACACCACGUGCGAGCCGGCCGGUACCUGGAGAUUACAUGCACGGUACUUACAUAUAAUUUCGGUGUGCCGGCGACCAAACGACCAAAUUACCGCCCGGCACGCCCGUCCGUAUACGUUAUUAUCAUCGGUACAGAAAUAUAAUCGGUAUCGUAUUUUGUAGAAAACCGAACUGUCGUGGAACGCAAAAAAAAUAAAAUACGGCCAGUACGGACACGACCGAGGAUGUUGAACGGUCCGCGGACCCAGCGCGAAAGAAUGCACAACCAUCAUUCGGAGUAUUAAAUAGCGUUGGGAAGGCACCGCGGGAUGCGCA